CACAACAUGACCAUUUUGCAGUUCCAGCAUACGAGGCAAGAAGGCUUUUGUGGUCUGUGGAUGAAAAGAUUAUUAAAAGCUCCACGCACGGCGAACUCCUUAGCCAGGUGACGGCCGAUGCCCCGUCCGCCACCCGUGAUAAGCACCACGUCUCCGGUCAGAUCUCUCCGCCUGCUCGCCCGCAGUGCUCCGACUCAGGCAGAGGAAGGAUUCCUGCAGACCAGUGCACCUCCAGAACAUGGAGACCUUUGUAAAUGGCUCUUAAACUCACACAGUAAACCCUGGAGCCAGACUGGAUAUUCCAGACUGUGAUUUUUGGCCUGGCUUCUGCUUCUACUGCUUAAAGUUGAAUGGAGGGCUGCUCAGACUGGACCGGGUCAAAAUGCAGCCUCACAAAGACUGCUUUGUGCUAUGCUGUGCCUUUUAGUAAUGGCCCAGCAACUCUCAGAAAGUUUAAUGGUUGUCUGGUGGGUGGAAAAAAGCAUGUUUCACUUGAAUUUGGCCUUUUCUGGAUCUGUUGAUCAAAAACAGGCCUAAAAUCACAGAUGCUGACGUAAUUUUCUUAUGUUGCACAAUAUUUUACAACCAUUAUUCUGUUUUUAUUUGAUGGUUUUAUUUUAUCUUGCACAUUUUGUUGUGGAGAUAUAACAGCAUGAUGAUGCUGAACAAAAAGGCUUUUUCUUUUCAGUUAGAGUGUCACUGCCAUCUACAGAUCAAUAGUGAAAGUUCACUAAAUCUGAUGUAUUCUCAGUGGUAGCCAUAGUGCAGACAUUGUCUGUCAUGGAAGAUAGUUUUAUCAUUUGCACAGUAAAAGGAUUAAAGGAACUGAGUUAGUUUCCAGUUGAUGAAUAUGAGCGUUUUGUCUUCACUAAAGCUGUGCCACCAUCAGUUAUCUCUUAUGUUAUGUAAACAUUCAGCCAUCAUAUUUUCAUGUGCAUUGUUGAAAUACUAAUGAGCUUAUCUGGUCAGUUAGAACAUACCUAGUGGGCAU